rnacentral:misc_RNA from 1 species
CAUUCUGAUGGAGCUGACGUGAUCCAACACAUGGUUGACAACUUUCUCCUAUAGAAGGUGCAUAAUGGUUGUAGUAACACUUAAGUCGGUGCUUUUCUCGGCCGAUGGCCCAUUCAAUUAAUUGCAUACUGAAGCGAAAGUGCAGUGACCUCAUUGUGUGAGGUCAGAAGUUAAAUUUCGCUGGGCCUGGCUUAUGCUGGUGAACGCCCACAGGUAAAGAAGGAAAUUUAAAACAAUUCCUCCUGCUUCCUCUUCUUCUCUGUUU